CGCGGCCUAUCAGCUUGUUGGUGGGGUGAUGGCCUACCAAGGCGACGACGGGUAGCCGGCCUGAGAGGGCGACCGGCCACACUGGGACUGAGACACGGCCCAGACUCCUACGGGAGGCAGCAGUGGGGAAUAUUGCGCAAUGGGCGGAAGCCUGACGCAGCGACGCCGCGUGAGGGAUGAAGGCCUUCGGGUUGUAAACCUCUUUCAGCACCGACGAAGCGUAAGUGACGGUAGGUGCAGAAGAAGCGCCGGCUAACUACGUGCCAGCAGCCGCGGUAAUACGUAGGGCGCAAGCGUUGUCCGGAAUUAUUGGGCGUAAAGAGCUCGUAGGCGGUUUGUCGCGUCUGUCGUGAAAGCUUGGGGCUUAACCCUAAGUCUGCGGUGGAUACGGGCAGACUAGAGGCAGGUAGGGGAGAACGGAAUUCCCGGUGUAGCGGUGAAAUGCGCAGAUAUCGGGAGGAACACCGGUGGCGAAGGCGGUUCUCUGGGCCUGUACUGACGCUGAGGAGCGAAAGCGUGGGGAGCGAACAGGAUUAGAUACCCUGGUAGUCCACGCCGUAAACGUUGGGCGCUAGGUGUGGGGUCCUUCCACGGAUUCCGCGCCGCAGCUAACGCAUUAAGCGCCCCGCCUGGGGAGUACGG
rnacentral:rRNA from 1 species